AAGUCGUAACAAGGUUUCCGUAGGUGAACCUGCGGAAGGAUCAUUAACACGUAUCCAACGUUAAAACCCCCCCCGUGAACUUUCAAUCCUGCUCUUGUAACCCGCGUAGUUCGCAAUCUCUGGUAAAUCAUAGCCCGGAAAGUUGUUUUGAUUCAGAGACCUCUGGCUACGUGAGAACAUUGGAACAGUUACAAUCGAGCGGUAGUUUCAUAGGCAUUGUUUCCCCAAGCAGUCAGUGUCGGAAAGUGUCACUGAUUGUGCAAGGAUAGCGCUUCACGAUUCCUGUAGACCGUACACUCGGGCAGGAGCUAUGCCUUUUAAUGUAAAGCUCAAUGUAAUACAUUGGGUAAAAAAACCGAACAACUGUUAACAAUGGAUAUCUUGGUUCUC
rnacentral:misc_RNA from 1 species